GCCAGGCGUGGUGGCAGGCGCCUGUCAUCCCAGCUACUCGGGAGGCUGAGGCAGGGGGAUCACUUGAGCCCAGGAGGUCAAGGCUGCAGUGACCCACGAUCAUGCCACUGCACUCCAGCCUGGGUGACAGAGUGAGACCCUGUCUCAA
rnacentral:SRP_RNA from 2 species